UACGAAGGGUGCAAGCGUUACUCGGAAUUACUGGGCGUAAAGCGUGCGUAGGCGGUGAGUUAAGUCUGAUGUGAAAUCCCCGGGCUCAACCUGGGAAUGGCAUUGGAUACUGGCUCGCUAGAGUACGGUAGAGGGUGGUGGAAUCCCGGUGUAGCAGUGAAAUGCGUAGAGAUCGGGAGGAACAUCUGUGGCGAAGGCGGCCACCUGGACCAGUACUGACGCUGA
rnacentral:rRNA from 1 species